CCUUUUGCUUCAUUUUUCUUUUUGCAUUUUUUUCCCUUUUUUUUUUGAUAACUAUAACAUUUACAUCAGCAUCUCCAAUCCAGCCUAACCUCGCUGAGUCCCCAAACAUGCUGAUCAGGCUUCCGAAAUGACACAAUGUGGCUGCUCACCAUGAAGGCAGUUACACGCUUCGAAACCCUAAUAUCCUCCAUCUUCAACUCCUGCAGUCGCCGGACGUAUUCCGGCACGUGCACUAUGUCCCACACAACUCCAAUCCCACCAGGUUUCAAAACCCUAACCAUCUCACCCAAUGCCCUCAUUCUCUCUGCUGCUG
rnacentral:misc_RNA from 1 species